GGUAGCGGUGCCCUGUACUUGCAAUCCGCUCUAGCAAGGCUGAAUUCCACUUUUGAGGAUUUGAAGUGUGAGGACUGCCUCGACAGUUCCAGUGCUGAGAUCGCGGUCCUAUGCAAUAGAACGUCAUGAAUCAUGUCAGGUCCGGAAGGAAGCAGCAUUAAGUGGCCCAUUCUAUGUGCCGUAGGGUUGCCGUGGUUGAGCUGGUCUGUCGAGUA
rnacentral:SRP_RNA from 1 species